AGUGAACGCUGGCGGUAGGCCUAGCACAUGCAAGUCGAACGGCAGCACAGGAGAGCUUGCUCUCUGGGUGGCGAGUGGCGGACGGGUGAGGAAUACAUCGGAAUCUACUUUUUCGUGGGGGAUAACGUAGGGAAACUUACGCUACUACCGCAUACGACCUACGGGUGAAAGCAGGGGACCUUCGGGCCUUGCGCGAUUGAAUGAGCCGAUGUCGGAUUAGCUAGUUGGCGGGGUAAAGGCCCACCAAGGCGACGAUCCGUAGCUGGUCUGAGAGGAGGAUCAGCCACACUGGAACUGAGACACGGUCCAGACUCCUACGGGAGGCAGCAGUGGGGAAUAUUGGACAAUGGGCGCAAGCCUGAUCCAGCCAUACCGCGUGGGUGAAGAAGGCCUUCGGGUUGUAAAGCCCUUUUGUUGGGAAAGAAAUCCAGCUGGCUAAUACCCGGUUGGGAUGACGGUACCCAAAGAAUAAGCACCGGCUAACUUCGUGCCAGCAGCCGCAGUAA
rnacentral:rRNA from 1 species